GUUUCAUCAGGCAGCAUGGUAUCACCUAUCUGAUUACGGUAUAUAUGCAGGUUGAAGUCGGCAGUGCGACGCGCUCAAUCGCAUUGGGUAAGGUAAAAUUUUACCUGGUAAUUGUAUUAAAUGAAUUAUUAUUCUUCCCAGUCUUCAGGAAACGUUUAAUAAGUUAUGGGUUUGCUUAUUACUUCAAUUUCUCCAGUCAAAAAAAAGUUGAUUUUUUUUUAUCCGUGUAUAAGCCGACCCCCCCAGUUCAGAAAUUUUUUUUUGGAAAAAAAACCUCGGCUUAUACACGAGUAUAUACGGUAAUUGUAAAAAAACAGUUAUAAUGGUCAGAAGUAGGCUUCACUCAUUAAAAGAUAUUUAUGGAUGAGCCAGCAGUGCCCAAAGCCUUGCAAGGAUGACUUCCUCUUUCCUCUUUCUGUGGUGGCUAGAAUCCCAUGGUUCAACUAUAGGUUUGGUCUUAUGCAUCUUGUUAAUUUGUUCAUCCUACAUGUGAGAAUUGUCUCAGCUUCUUGAUUAUGAGUUUUAAAUCACUAAAAGGGACAUGAAAGAGGUUUGAAUAGGUAGGAGUAGCUGACUUCACAGCAAUGUAACAACUCAUAAACCAAGAACUAUUUGUAUUUUGUUAACAUCAGCUUCCCAGUAAUAUAUUGGUAUAAAUUAUUAGUAC
rnacentral:lncRNA from 1 species